rnacentral:rRNA from 1 species
GAUGAACGCCGGCGGUGUGCCUAAUACAUGCAAGUCGAACGCGUUGGCCUAAUUGAUUGAUGGUGCUUGCACCUGAUUGAUUUUGGUCGCCAACGAGUGGCGGACGGGUGAGUAACACGUAGGUAACCUGCCCAGAAGCGGGGGACAACAUUUGGAAACAGAUGCUAAUACCGCAUAACAGCGUUGUUCGCAUGAACAACGCUUAAAAGAUGGCUUCUCGCUAUCACUUCGGGAUGGACCUGCGGUGCAUUAGCUUGUUGGUGGGGUAACGGCCUACCAAGGCGAGGAUGGAUAGCCGAGUUGAGAGACUGAUCGGCCACAAUGGGACUGAGACACGGACCAUAGUCCUACGGGAGGCAGCAGUAGGGAAUCUUCCACAAUGGGCGCAAGCCUGAUGGAGCAACACCGCGUGAGUGAAGAAGGGUUUCGGCUCGUAAAGCUCUGUUGUUAAAGAAGAACACGUAUGAGAGUAACUGUUCAUACGUUGACGGUAUUUAACCAGAAAGUCACGGCUAACUACGUG